rnacentral:rRNA from 1 species
GGUUAUACGAGAGGCUCAAGCUGACAGACAACGGCGUAAAGAGUGGUUAAGGGACCCCCCAAACUAAAGUYGAAGCCCCUCAAAACUGUUAUACGUACCCGAAGGCAAGAAGCUCCACCACGAAAGUGACUUUACC